rnacentral:rRNA from 1 species
UCGCCAUUGCCACUUCACCCUGGCCAUGCCUCUAAGCCCCUACUCGCUGCGCCAUUCCUUCAGUCGCCCGCUCCCAAAAUUCUUACGUUGGGAGAGGCGGCGGUGGCGGUGACGAUGGGGAAGAGGAAGAUGCGUAAGGAGCAGAAGGUGGAUGCGCUGUCUUUUGCUCAAAAUCCUACACUGGCGGAAGAGCAGGGGGAGGAGGCCAUGACCAUGAUGACUAAAAAGGAGCGCAAGCGUGUAGAGCAGAUACUGUCAUCUCCUACAUCUGUUGCGGCCGAAACCCCAAUCCAGGAGCAGGAGGUGAAGGUGACCAAGAAACAGAAGCAGAGGAGGGGACAUGAACCAUCUGCCAAGUCAACAUUACCACUUGACCGUGGCCAGAGUCGCUGUGUUCAAUCACAUGGAGCCAAAGCUCCACCAAAACAAGAUGGAGAGAAUGAUGGCUGCAAGGGUAUUAAAAAAAGCAAUGGCAAGAAACCCCGUGUCCGUGUCCUCAACAACCGUGAGCUCAUCCAGGAGGCAAGAAAGCAGCCGCAGCCGCUGCCCGAAGGCUUUGUGCCGUUCAGCAAUUUUGUUGCCAGUUGCACAGAGCAGAACGCUGACCAUUCAUCGCCUUGCAGUGCAUUCUUUGACCAGUUUCGCUAUAACCCUGUCUGCGAAGAUCGCAAACCCCCACUUCCCAGAACCCCUGAUCGUCUGACCAGGUUGCCACCUCGAGGUUACUCAUCAUUUGAGUCAUCUCAGCUCGCUGCAAAUGAAGUUUCCAGGCCUGACACCACUCUAGCGUCCAAGACAAAGCAGCAAGAUUCAGGUUCAGGAUCACAAGAGAAAGUUAGUGUAGAAGUAAAGGAAAACCCUGAAAACAAGACGAGGGAGAAGAAGCAAAGGAGACUAUCUGGCAAGUCACGAUUGCCAUUUGACUCCAGCCGGACUUGCUGUGUUCAGCUACAAGGAACCAAAGCUCUACCAGAACAGGACCAAGAAACUGAUGCUCCAAAGGUUAACAAUAUUGAAAAAAGUAACAGCAAGAAGGCCCAUGUCUGUGCUCCCAGCAAAUGCGAACUCUUCAAGGAGAUGACAAAGGAGCAGACGCUGACUGAAGGCUUUUUGGCACCCAAAGAUUUGGUUUCCAAUUGCACUGAGCAGAGUCCCAAUUAUUCAUCGCCUUUUGGUGCAUCCUUUGAUCCGUUCUGCUACAGAUCUGCUCGGCAAGAUCUCAAUCCCCAACCUUCUAGAAGCACUGAUCAUCUACCAUUUGAGUUGUCUGAGCUCACUACGAGUGAAACCUCCAACGCUUUCAAGGCUAACAAUUCUGUGCAGUCCAAGUCAAAGAAGAAAGAUUCAGGUUCAAGCUCCACCUCAGGCUCACAGAAGAAACGAAAUGUAAAAGAAAAGACAACCCCUGAGAAGAAGACGAGGAUCAGGAAACCACGACCAGUGUUUACCACUGCUGAGAAGCGCUCAGACAAAUACCGGCGCGUACCCUUGGACCAGCUGGUACCACCGCCACGCUCUCCUCAUAAUCUCUUGCAGGAGAAGUACGCCUCUGACCCGUGGAAGGUUAUGCUCAUCUGCAUGUUCCUCAACUUAACACAGGGUAUACAGGUCAAGAGGAUGUUGGAGGGCUUCUUUGAACGCUAUCCUGACCCUUGGUCUGCAAUUAACGCUGAUCCUGACAAGAUGGCGGAGUAUCUAUCUCCUCUAGGGUUGCAGCAUGUGAAGACACGCAAUAUCAAGAAAUUGUCCAAGCAGUAUGUUGGAAAUGAAUGGACCCAUAUUACGCAGCUUUGUGGCGUCGGCAAGUACGCAGCUGAUGCUUAUGCAAUAUUUUGUGCGGGUAGGGCGAGGGAGGUGGUACCUGAUGAUCACAAGUUAGUUGACUACUGGAACUAUGUCUGCUUUGAGUUGCCCAUGACGCAGAGCGUAGCCAUCGGCUCCUCCCCUGAUCAAAUUCUUGCACGAAGAGGCUGCCCGCGCCCCUCCUCUCGGAGUCCCCUGCUGUGCCACCGCCUGCCCGUUCCCACUCGGUGAUGGAUUAGUCCAGUUCCAGUACAUGUUCAGUGAAGUGCAAGGGGAAGCAGAUGUGGAUGACGCUAUGCAGUCCUAGAUGGGAUAAUUUUGCAGUGUAACUGGGGUUGGUUUUGCAUGGUUCAUGUACCUUGGAUACUCUUGCUCCUUUAGAUUAGUGUUAAGCCUUGAGAUGAUAUUACCUGACAAGCACACUUGAUGGAUGCAGCGAGUUAUGUUUGCAGGUGCCGUCUGUUAGUUUUUUUUAAUGUAUACUAGUACAUAUGCCCGUGCGUUGCAACGGGAGAGUUUUUUUGCGAGAAGCAUCGGAAGAAA